ACAGUCCACUAAACUGAUUUCACAACCUGCUAAUGGAUGGCAACUGGCAGCUUGAAAAACAGUGAUGUAAUCUAGUAUGCCCACAUGACAGGUCAGAAAGCUGAGGCCCUGAAAUGGGAAGCCAUCUCCCCUUCAUGAAAGGGGAAGUCACGGAGUUGAAGCAGAUCUUAGCCCAGAAGCCGGGUCUCAGAUCCUGGUCACCGACAGGCUAUGUUAUGUGCACUUAUGUAGGAGCUCAGCUCUGGCAGCAGGACAUGGUGGAAAGGGCACUGCUGAGACCUAGCUGGCUCUGCGAUGGAUUCACUGUGUUUCUGAGAUGUGCUUCUUUGCUGACACUGCUGACAGCUGGAUACAGCUACACUGAGAAACACGAGACCCGAGUCCUGUCUGCUUUGGCUUUACGGGUGGCGACGGAUGUGUAAAAGAAACGCAAACACAAACAAGGCAAAGCUUGUCCUCUGCCUAAGGAGAUGCGAUGUCCAGCUGCACUGAACACCCUGCCCAUUAUUCAGAGCUACAUUCCAAUGAUGUUCUACCCCAAGAAUAUGCUAGAGGGACCCAACCACCACUGAGAAAGAGCCGCCUCUGGCUAGCACCCUAAAAUAGGAAGUCUGGCCUUCAGAGCCCCCAAGGCAGGCAGCUGUCCUGGCCGGACACUCUGGCUUGGCAGGCUGGCCCAGGGGAAGCACAGGCUUCUGGCAAGGACCUGAUGGAGAAGAUGCCAUGCACUCACCAGCCAUGUUUCGCCUUCCUCUGCCUCUUCUCAGGCUCCUCUGGGAAUGGCACGGACAGUGCUGACAGACAGGCUGCCAAGGAUUGCCUUACCAUUUAUAGAAUCCUCUCCUACACACCCCAAUUAGAAUUCUAAUGAAGUGGGCGAGGCACCAGGUCAUUCCUGUAGUGCCUGUAAACGUUUCACUUACGACAGACUUGUCACCCAAUGGACGUGCAUCAUGUUUGUACAAGACCAGCUUGGGGAGAAG